rnacentral:lncRNA from 1 species
UCAUUUUGAUUUUCUUCGUGUGCCAUAAGACACAAGUUUGCGGUCUCGUUUUCUUCUCCAUCACUUGAUUCGUUUCCGGAGUCACCUCCCCAAGAGAUGUAUGCUCUUUGUUUCUUGAAUGAUUUCUUCUCCUUUUUGAUGUUUGGACAAUUUGAUUUGAUAUGCCCGAUUUCUCCGCAUCCGUCGCACUUCAAUUGGUCGCCUUGUUGCUUACCUUUU